UACGUAAGGUGCGAGCGUUGUCCGGAAUCAUUGGGCGUAAAGGGUGCGCAGGCGGUAUGAUAGGUCAGUUGUGAAAGCCACAGGCUCAACUUGUGGAGUGCAAUUGAAACCAUCAUGCUAGAGAGCAGAAGAGGUAAGUGGAAUUCCAUGUGUAGCGGUGAAAUGCUUAGAUAUGUGGAAGAACACCAAUGGCGAAGGCAGCUUACUGGUCUGUUACUGACGCUGAGGCACGAAAGCGUGGGGAGCGAACGGG
rnacentral:rRNA from 1 species